rnacentral:rRNA from 1 species
CCUACGGGCGGCAGCAGUGGGGAAUAUUGGACAAUGGGCGAAAGCCUGAUCCAGCCAUGCCGCGUGUGUGAAGAAGGCCUUCGGGUUGUAAAGCACUUUCAGUGGGGAAGAAAGCCUUGGGGCUAAUACCCUCGAGGAAGGACAUCACCCACAGAAGAAGCACCGGCUAACUCCGUGCCAGCAGCCGCGGUAAUACGGAGGGUGCGAGCGUUAAUCGGAAUUACUGGGCGUAAAGCGCGCGUAGGCGGUCUGAUAAGCCGGUUGUGAAAGCCCCGGGCUCAACCUGGGAACGGCAUCCGGAACUGUCAGGCUAGAGUGCAGGAGAGGAAGGUAGAAUUCCCGGUGUAGCGGUGAAAUGUGUAGAGAUCGGGAGGAAUACCAGUGGCGAAGGCGGCCUUCUGGACUGACACUGACGCUGAGGUGCGAAAGCGUGGGUAGCAAACAGGAUUAGAUACCCCUGUAGUC